GGAUGAAGAUGAUGAUUUUGAUAGAGGGUGAUGAUCGAUUUCACAUGAUCAAAAUUUCUCAUCGCUACGUUCUUUCUGAUCCACUC